AAAUUGAAGAGUUUGAUCAUGGCUCAGAUUGAACGCUGGCGGCAGGCCUAACACAUGCAAGUCGAACGGUAACAGGAAACAGCUUGCUGUUUCGCUGACGAGUGGCGGACGGGUGAGUAAUGUCUGGGAAACUGCCCGAUGGAGGGGGAUAACUACUGGAAACGGUAGCUAAUACCGCAUAACGUCGCAAGACCAAAGAGGGGGACCUUCGGGCCUCUUGCCAUCGGAUGUGCCAGAUGGGAUUAGCUAGUAGGUGGGGUAACGGCUCACCUAGGCGACGAUCCCUAGCUGGUCUGAGAGGAUGACCAGCCACACUGGAACUGAGACACGGUCCAGACUCCUACGGGAGGCAGCAGUGGGGAAUAUUGCACAAUGGGCGCAAGCCUGAUGCAGCCAUGCCGCGUGUAUGAAGAAGGCCUUCGGGUUGUAAAGUACUUUCAGCGGGGAGGAAGGGAGUAAAGUUAAUACCUUUGCUCAUUGACGUUACCCGCAGAAG
rnacentral:rRNA from 1 species